rnacentral:rRNA from 1 species
UAGAGUUUGAUCAUGGCUCAGAUUGAACGCUGGCGGCAGGCCUAACACAUGCAAGUCGAGCGGCAGCACGGGUACUUGUACCUGGUGGCGAGCGGCGGACGGGUGAGUAAUGCCUAGGAAUCUGCCUGGUAGUGGGGGAUAACGCUCGGAAACGGACGCUAAUACCGCAUACGUCCUACGGGAGAAAGCAGGGGACCUUCGGGCCUUGCGCUAUCAGAUGAGCCUAGGUCGGAUUAGCUAGUUGGUGAGGUAAUGGCUCACCAAGGCGACGAUCCGUAACUGGUCUGAGAGGAUGAUCAGUCACACUGGAACUGAGACACGGUCCAGACUCCUACGGGAGGCAGCAGUGGGGAAUAUUGGACAAUGGGCGAAAGCCUGAUCCAGCCAUGCCGCGUGUGUGAAGAAGGUCUUCGGAUUGUAAAGCACUUUAAGUUGGGAGGAAGGGCAUUUACCUAAUACGUAAGUGUUUUGACGUACCGACAGA